rnacentral:rRNA from 1 species
CUGAUCCCUUCUCGAACUCAGAAGUGAAACAGACCCGCGCCGAUGAUAGUGUGGGGUUUCCCCAUGUGAAAGUAGGUCAUCGCCAGGG